GAUGAACGCUGGCGGCGUGCUUAACACAUGCAAGUCGAGCGAUGAAGUUUCCUUCGGGAAAUGGAUUAGCGGCGGACGGGUGAGUAACACGUGGGUGACCUGCCUCAUAGAGUGGAAUAGCCUUCCGAAAGGAAGAUUAAUACCGCAUAACGUUGAAAGAUGGCAUCAUCAUUCAACCAAAGGAGCAAUCCGCUAUGAGAUGGACCCGCGGCGCAUUAGCUAGUUGGUGGGGUAACGGCCUACCAAGGCGACGAUGCGUAGCYGACCUGAGAGGGUGAUCGGCCACAUUGGGACUGAGACACGGCCCAGACUCCUACGGGAGGCAGCAGUGGGGAAUAUUGCACAAUGGGGGAAACCCUGAUGCAGCAACGCCGCGUGAGUGAUGAAGGUUUUCGGAUCGUAAAGCUCUGUCUUUGGGGAAGAUAAUG
rnacentral:rRNA from 1 species